rnacentral:rRNA from 1 species
AACUCGACUACAUGAAGCCGGAAUCGCUAGUAAUCGCGGAUCAGAAUGCCGCGGUGAAUACGUUCCCGGGUCUUGUACACACCGCCCGUCACACCAUGGGAGCCGGAAAUGCCCGAAGUCAGUGACCCAACCAAUAAGGAGGGAGCUGCCGAAGGCAGGUCUGGUGACUGGGGUGAAGUCGUAACAAGGUAAC